rfam:Lupinus angustifolius cultivar Tanjil contig_40507, whole genome shotgun sequence.
AUAUGAUCUACCUUUUGGCUAAGAUCAAGUGUAGUAUAUGUUCUUAUCAGUUUAAUAUCUUAUACGUAAGUUAUUGGCCCACAUGAUAUUAAAUUACUUUUUGAAAGGGGAAGGGCCACAACAGUAAUUUGCUAUUGGGCCUUCCAUGUGUCGCCCAUGCAUUGCACUAGAGCAUGGGCUUGGCGCACCCUCC